ACCUGGUUGAUCCUGCCAGUUAUGAUAGGCUUGUCUCAAGGACUAAGCCAUGCAUGCCUAAGUUCAUACCAUAUAAAGGUGAAACUGCGAAUCGCUCAGUAAAUCAGUUAUUGUUUCUUUGAUUGUACCGGGACGCUGCCUUCACCGGCAGUGUCACACAUUGGAUAACUCUGGGAAACUAGAGCUAAUACAUGUCAACUGCUAUCUCGGGGUAGCGUGCAUUUGUUCGUUUGACAAAACCAACACUGACCGAUCUAAGCGUUGUGGCUGGCUAUCGGGUGCGUGCAAGCGUAUCUGGUUUUCAGCUGUGACGUUCACGGGUCGGCCACGUACACGGUGAAUCUGAAUAACUGAUGCUGAUCGUAUAGGGCCACCGUGCCCACGAUAUUUCAAUCAAAUUUCUGCCCUAUCAUAUUUGUUGGUAGAGUAGCGGCCUACCAAGGUGAUGACGGGUAACGGGGAAUCAGGGUUCGAUUCCGGAGAGGGAGCCUGAGAAAUAGCUACCACGUCCAAGGAUGGCAGCAGGCGCGCAAACUAUCCAAUCCAGAUUCUGGGAGAUGGUGACGAGACAUAUUGGGACUCACCAGCACCGCUGGUCGAGUUACCAGAUAGACUACAACCUAAAACAGUGCUAAAACAAUCAACAGGAGGGCAAGUCUGGUGCCAGCAGCCGCGGUAAUACCAGCUCCUGUGGCCUAUAUGGUCGUUGUUGCGGUUAAAAAGCUCGUAGUUGAAAUACGGUGCGCUCGAGAGCCGUAUCGGUGGUAAGCCUGCCCAGGGUGAACACCAACACGUGUGUGCAGGUGUGCCAGUGUGGUCAACACACUGGCCCUGUGUGCCGUGCACUGGUGCCUGUGAUGCAGUGUUGUAGUUCGGUGUGUCAGUGCCAGCGGGUGGUGGUGCGUGAUGUGUGCUUGUCAGCGUCGUUGCUGCCUGUGCUGUGUUGUGCCUCACGGUGUGACAUGGUGCAGGUGGUGAUGGUGCUGGCAGGCGUGUGUUGCCCCACUGUCUGCUGGUGUCGGCAUCGGGCUAUUUUAUCGCUGAGACGGCAUUAGAGUGUGCUUUCUCGUCCGGCUUUGGUGAGUGAGCGCGUACACACACACCGUGUGUCAUGUGUUACACAGUUACCCUUGAUUGGGUACACUGAACGCCGGGCGAAUUGUGCCUUGAGUAAAAUAGAGUGCUCAAAGCAGGCUAGACAUGUAACAGUGUCAUUGCCCGUAUACUCCAGCAUGGAACGAAUGUCCAAUUGCUUGAACCACCCUGCGGCCUGGUUCGUUGGUUGAGCGCGCUCGCGCUCAGUGUGUGGGGAAAGUACUCGCGUAUGUCGCGGGUGAUGCUGCCCUGUGCACGCCAGGUCGUACCCGUGGGAGUGUGUACCCAGUAGUUGUGUGUGCAUUGCCUANUGCAAUGUGUGUGCCAGCGAGCGCAGUUCGGGGAAAGAAUGUAUGUGACGCAAUAAAGCAGUCGAUCUGCUGCCGUGGUAGCUCCCAGUCUGGUGUUAUGAUGAGAGCAGCAUUACUCUACGUGCGAGUGCUGCCUCUCUCAUCCAUGGUGCCCUGGCCUACAACACGUGCGCGAUCCUGCGCGUGUGAUGCAGCCUGUUCUGUGUCUUUGUGUUGAACUGUUGCUGUUGCGUGUGUGCGUCCGAUGGUGGCUGCAUUACUCGGUGCCACAUGUGUGCACGUGCGUGGUUCCACUCGGGGGCAUCGGGUCAAGCCAUGCAGUUUAAAACUCAGCUCACCCCGAGAUCGCAUUGUAGCUGUGCUUCGGUGUCGUGUCCUGGUGAAAGCCAGCACACCCGUGCCAGUGAUGGCCCUCGGUUACGUGCAGUUCGGGUCUGUGUGGUCCGAUGACCUACCGGUGACCAUUUACCAUGUGCUACACCAUAGUGCAUGGCGUGCUGUGUGUGCGUGUGUGCAUAGCCAGAUUAUUCUGCGUGUAAAACGUGUCUUGUGUAUUGCGCCUCGGUUCAUGUGUGCACGUGUUUGCAGUGUAUAUAUGCAGUUCCACGAUUCUCGCCCUGGGAUCGAUGCCGCUCCCACGUAUGGGUAUCGGUUAACAGAAACAUUUGGGGGCAUUGGUAUUUGGCCGCGAGAGGUGAAAUUCUAAGACCGGCCAAAGACUGACGAUUGCGAAGGCAUUUGCCAAAGAUGCGUUCAUUAAUCAAGAACUAAGGUUGGUGGAUCGAAGACGAUUAGAUACCGUCGUAGUACCAACUGUAAACUAUGCCAACCAGGGCUCAGGCCGGAUCGUUUAUAUUGUGCACACAUCAUGUGUGCUCAUAUUGCAGUGAUCCAGGUUGGGCCCCCCGGGAAACCUAAAGUGUUUGGGUUCCGGGGGGAGUAUGGUUGCAAGGCUGAAACUUAAAGGAAUUGACGGAAGGGCACCACCAGGAGUGGAGCCUGCGGCCUAAUUUGACUCAACACGGGGAAUCUCACCAGGUCCGGACAUCGGAAGGAUUGACAGACUGAUAGAUCUUUCAUGAUUCGGUGAAUGGUGGUGCAUGGCCGUUCUUGGUUGGUGGAGUGAUUUGUCUGGUUUAUUCCGUGAACGAGCGCAACCCCAGCCUCUAUUUUGGCCGCUACGAAGUGACUGCGUGUGCGCGUGUUUGCAAAAAUGCGAUGUGUGCGCGAGCACGUACAGUGAUGGCGCAAGUUGCUGCUGUGCGUGCGAUUGCCGUCGGUCGUGCCGGUGCGCUAGUCUUUGUGCGUGUGCGCGUCCAAGUGUGGCGCUUUGAGGUGGUGCUGUUGAGUACAUUAUCGGUGGUUGGCCGUAUGCUCAGCGGUUGGGGAGUUGCUGGUGCAUAUUCCAAACGUUUUGGUGUCUGAUCGACGAUGUCGCUGGCAGCACACCCAGGUGGCAAUCGUGAUGAAUUGUCAUAUUCUGGUGCUGUACAGUCAUCGGUAGUGUGUGCCAUUGCGGUGCAUCAGUGCCCUGACUGUUGGGUGGUCAAUUGACUGGAAGUGUGUCACUCGGUGGCACACAAAAACACUGCAAGGUGCUGUGUGUGGAUGUGCGCGCGUGUGGAGAUGUGCUGGUGUUUUGGCCGACGCGUGUUCGUGCGCCUUCAUAGAGGGACUACCGGUGGCAAGCCGGGGGAAGUGGGACGAUAGCAGGUCAGUGAUGCCCUUAGAUGUUCUGGGCUGCACGCGCGCUACAAUGGCGACGUCAAUGAGUUUUCUGCAUCGAAAGAUGUGGGUAAUCUGUCAAUCGUCGCCGUGCUGGGGAUUGAGCCUUGAAAUUAUUGCUCAUGAACCUGGAAUUCCUCGUAAGUACGAGUCACCAGCUCGUGCUGAAUACGUCUCUGCCCUUUGUACACACCGCCCGUCGCUACUACCGAUUGAAUGAUUCGAUGAGGGCAAGGGAUUGAUCGGUCUCACUGUUUGUAGAACUGGUCGAGAGCCUGUCCCAAGUUGCAUCAGUCAGAGGAAGUAAAGUCGUAACAAGGCUUCCGUAGGUGAACCAGCGGAAG
rnacentral:rRNA from 1 species